rnacentral:rRNA from 1 species
CACCGGCGGCCCGAGUGGUAACCGCUUUUAUUGGGUCUAAAGGGUCUGUAGCCGGCCAAGUAAGUCCUUUGGGAAAUCUGGUAGCUCAACUAUCAGGCUGCCAGGGGAUACUGCUUGGCUUGGGACCGGGAGAGGUGAGAGGUACCUCGGGGGUAGGGGUGAAAUCUUGUGAUCCUCGAGGGACCACCAGUGGCGAAGGCGUCUCACCAGAACGGGUCCGACGGUAAGGGACGAAAGCUAGGGGCACGAACCGGAUUAGAUACCCGGGUAGUCCUAGCCGUAAACGAUGCUCGCUAGGUGUCAGUCACGGUGCGACCGUGAUUGGUGCCGUAGGGAAGCCGUGAAGCGAGCCACCUGGGAAGUAUGGCCGCAAGGCUGAAACUUAAAGGAAUUGGCGGGGGAGCACUACAACGGGUGGAGCCUGCGGUUC